GCCACCGGCUGAUGGACCCGGCUCGCUGCCAUCGUGAGCCUGUUGGAAGUAUCACGGGACUCUGUGACGGAGCCUUGACCUUUUCCAUUUGAAGGUAUGCCCUGUGACGGCGGCGUCAGACUGGGAGUGCGGCCGGAGCAUGUGGCCCGAGGGCCCUGGCCAUUUUAGGAGAUGCCAACUAAGAGACAACAGCCCGGUGACGGCAGGAACUUCCCAGAUGGUGAGGUGGCCUUCUUUCACACCUGACCUGGAUUCGCAUUCCCGGACCUCCGAGAGAUAAGUGGAGGGCUACGCCUCACAGAGGGGAUGAGAGCGAUGUGCCGGGUCAGGACUCGUCGGAAGGAUUUUUGAAUUAGCUCUGGAGAUGGGGAUGUCCAAGAAAUGGCCCCUUUAGGCCACACGAUGGGAAAGUCUCACUUUUGAUCACAAUGCUGAGGCACGUAGGACAGAACAGUCCCGACGCAGAUCGAUUCUAUCUGUGGUGGAGCGCUCCAUACUAGGUGAGGGGGUUCGCACAGGAAGGAGGUAAAGCCGGAUCUCAGCAGUCCAUGUCAAGUGAGCGAGGCGGUCCACUUGCAUUACGCCGAACCCCCUCGCAGAACGGCCGAUGGACCCGGCUCGCCGCCCUCGUG